rnacentral:rRNA from 1 species
UCUUGGACAGCCUUCUGAAAGGAAGAUUAAUACAAGAUGGCAUCAUGAGUCCGCAUGUUCACAUGGUUAAAGGUAUUCCGGUAGACGAUGGGGAUGCGUUCCAUUAGAUAGUAGGCGGGGUAACGGCCCACCUAGUCUUCGAUGGAUAGGGGUCCUGAGAGGAAGGUCCCCCACAUUGGAACUGAGACACGGUCCAAACUCCUACGGGAGGCAGCAGUGAGGAAUAUUGGUCAAUGGGCGCAGGCCUGAACCAGCCAAGUAGCGUGAAGGAUGACUGCCCUAUGGGUUGUAAACUUCUUUUAUAAAGGAAUAAAGUCGGGUAUGUAUACCCGUUUGCAUGUACUUUAUGAAUAAGGAUCGGCUAACUCCGUGCCAGCAGCCGCGGUAAUACGGAGGAUCCGAGCGUUAUCCGGAUUUAUUGGGUUUAAAGGGAGCGUAGAUGGAUGUUUAAGUCAGUUGUGAAAGUUUGCGGCUCAACCGUAAAAUUGCAGUUGAUACUGGAUAUCUUGAGUGCAGUUGAGGCAGGCGGAAUUC